rnacentral:rRNA from 1 species
UACGUAGGGCGCAAGCGUUGUCCGGAAUUAUUGGGCGUAAAGAGCUCGUAGGCGGUCUGUCGCGUCCGUUGUGAAAACUCGAGGCUCAACCUCGGGCUUGCAGUGGAUACGGGCAGACUAGAGUGCGGUAGGGGAGACUGGAAUUCCUGGUGUAGCGGUGGAAUGCGCAGAUAUCAGGAGGAACACCGAUGGCGAAGGCAGGUCUCUGGGCCGCAACUGACGCUGAGGAGCGAAAGCGUGGGGAGCAAACAGG